CUUAAUGCCAUCAUUUAGUUGGGCACUUUAAAGAGACUGCCGGUGUUAAGCCGGAGGAAGGUGGGGAUGACGUCAAGUCCUCAUGGCCUUAUGCCCAGGGCUACACACGUGCUACAAUGGGCGGUACAAAGAGAAGCAACCUCGCGAGGGUGAGCAAAUCUCAAAAAGCCGUUCUCAGUUCGGAUUGAAGUCUGCAACUCGACUUCAUGAAGUCGGAAUCGCUAGUAAUCGCGGAUCAGCAUGCCGCGGUGAAUACGUUCCCGGGCCUU
rnacentral:rRNA from 1 species